rnacentral:rRNA from 1 species
CGGCGAGUGAAGAGGGAAGAGCUCAAAGUUGGAACCUGUUUGGCUUAGUCAAACCGGAUUGUAAACUGGAGAAGUGUUUUCCUGGCACGCCAGACUGAUAAGUCCUUUGGAACAGGGCAUCAUAGAGGGUGAGAAUCCCGUGAUCGGUCUGAGCUGUUGUCUUUUGUGAUACACUUUCAAAGAGUCAGGUUGUUUGGGAAUGCAGCCUAAAUUGGGUGGUAAAUCUCACCUAAAGCUAAAUAUUGGCGAGAGACCGAUAGCGAACAAGUACCGUGAGGGAAAGAUGAAAAGAACUUUGAAAAGAGAGUUAAACAGUAUGUGAAAUUGUUGAAAGGGAACCGUUUGGAGCCAGACUGGCUUUGUCGUGAUCAAUCUGGGUUUCGACCUUGAUGCACUGACGACAGACGCCUGCCAUCGACAGUUUUGUUUGGAGGAAAAAACUAUUGGUAAUGUAGCCUCUCGGGGUGUUAUAGACCUUUAGAAAAUACUCCGGAUGGGACUGAGGAACGCAGUGGAUGCCUUUGGCGAAAUUGCUAGGCGCUUUUGUUGAUACAUGCUGGAAUUUCUGCUUCGGGUGGUGCCAGUGUCUAAAGAUAAAACUCGCUUGGUAUAUUUUCUAUCCACUUAGGUUGAUGGCUUAAUGACUCUAAAUGA